ACAAUGGCGUAAACAAAGGGAGGCGAAGGAGUAAUCCGGAGCGAACCCCAAAAAUAACGUCUCAGUUCGGACUGUGGUCUGCAACCCGACCACACGAAGCUGGAAUCGCUAGUAAUCGCGAAUCAGAAUGUCGCGGUGAAUACGUUCCCGGGUCUUGUACACACCGCCCGUCACACCAUGGGAGUCAGCAACGCCCGAAGUCAGUGACCUAACCGAAAGGGAGGAGCUGCCGAAGGCGGGGCCGGUAACUGGGGUGAAGUCGUAACAAGGUAGC
rnacentral:rRNA from 1 species